GCGUUUUUAGCUCAGAUGGAUAGAGCAACGGCUUCCUAAGCUGUAGGUCGCAGGUUCGAGUCCUGCAUGGCGCACCA
rnacentral:tRNA from 1 species